GUGACAGAUUCUGCCUCAGCGGCUCUCAUCGCACUCAUCUGCAAGAUGAACACAUAAAAUCCUGAGAAGACUUCAAGUCUCAAUUGAAACCUCUUAAGCCAAGAAGCAUAGAUUGACUUCAAAACGCAAGCAACAUUGGUAGUCCCAGCAUCUCAUGUUUCCGAUUUUCCUGGUCUAUUAUUUCUCCAAGUCUCUGAUAGCAGAUGCAGCCUCCUCAGACUUGGAAGAAGGAAGGAGAUCAGCAAAACUUAGUUAUGUAGACUAAACAAAACAAUACUUAUAAAGAGAAAGUACAACCUUUGUAAAUCAAUAGCAGCCAACACCCUUUAUAAAGUCCCCUGACCUCCAAGAAAAGGUAUGGAUGAAGAUCCAGAAUUUGGGCCCUCUCCACCUAAUGUUUGGCUGUGGGUCACUGCAUCUGCUCCCAUCAUCUGCUAGAGGAAGCCUCUCUGAGGCUAUUGGGCUAGAAAAUGGGAGGUGAUAUGUGAUUUCCCUCUCUAUGCUGUGACAACCACUAGUGAAUAAAGAAACUGCUUUAGACCUGUAUCAGGGCACAACUUCGUUAGGCAGGGAAAACCAAGCUGAAUUCUGGGAGAAAGAAGGGCAGAGUCAAGGAGAAAACAUGGAGCCCCACUGGAGAUGGACACCAGAACUU